AGCGAACGCUGGCGGCAGGCUUAACACAUGCAAGUCGAGCGGGCCUUUCGGGGUCAGCGGCGGACGGGUGAGUAACGCGUGGGAACGUGCCCUCUGGUUCGGAAUAACUCAGGGAAACUUGAGCUAAUACCGGAUACGCCCUUUUGGGGAAAGGCUUGCUGCCGGAGGAUCGGCCCGCGUCUGAUUAGCUGGUUGGUGAGGUAACGGCUCAACAAGGCGACGAUCAGUAGCUGGUCUGAGAGGAUGAUCAGCCACACUGGGACUGAGACACGGCCCAGACUCCUACGGGAGGCAGCAGUGGGGAAUAUUGGACAAUGGGCGCAAGCCUGAUCCAGCCAUGCCGCGUGAGUGAUGAAGGCCUUAGGGUUGUAAAGCUCUUUUAUCCGGGACGAUAAUGACGGUACCGGAGGAAUAAGCCCCGGCUAACUUCGUG
rnacentral:rRNA from 1 species